rnacentral:lncRNA from 1 species
UACCGAAUAACUAUAGAAAGAAAUGGAUUAAGAGGUCGUUUCACCAGCACUUUGCAAGAAGAUAGACAUGUUUCACUCUUAUUUUUGUAGACCGAUAUCCACCCUCUUCAUCACCCUAGUGACAUUAAUGACAAUGGUUGGCUUAACCUCCUUCCACUUGUUUUGACACAAGCACAUGAUUUGGAAAUGGAAUAAUAGUCAUCCUAUUUGUUGAACACAUUAGUCGAAUGACAUACUACAUAUGUCCUUCCUCUAGUGAUCUAGAACACCAUCUAUUAGUUUACAGAGGAAGUACUUUCUAAUUAUCAUGCCUUGGCCGCACAUAGAUGUCUUUGUUUACAGGGGUCAUCCUCCUUUUAAAAAAAACUAAGAAACAAAUAAUGUGGUAUGAUUCAUGGGUAAUGGGCACCCAUUGCCAUCACUGGGUAUUAAGUCUCAUCAGAUAACAUGUAACACGUGACAUGUUCAAUCACAUCAAAAAUAGCAUAUAUCAUAAGCUAAUUAAUUUCCUUUUGUUAUAAUGAAUAACAAAAAUGAUAGUAGAAACAUAUGAUAUUCAAUAAAAGGUACCAUGUCCAGUGUUGUAUAUUUACAUGGGAAUUUGUAGGAAUAUUCAUUCUAAUAAAAAUUUACUUAGAGCACUAACUACCACUUACAUGAAAGUCGAUGCAUGCCCUUUUAAAUAACUCACCACCAAGUCCUCAUCAGCAAUGUAGUUUAUUCCUUUCAACCAAAGAAGUGGUUUAUGAUCUGAAAAAUAGAACCGGAAAACAUUUAGUGAAGAGUAACCUAAAGCAGUAGCGAAUGACAAGAGCAUACAUAUGUCCGAAUAUAUGUGUUAUCGCAGGUAUAUGAACAUCAUGGUUUCCACUUUCCAAAAAAAAUCAAACACAAAUUCAACCUGAUUAGUACAGGUUCAGGUCUUUCAUUUUUCCUUGAAUUUAUCUUACCUAUUUUGAUGUUCAUUCAACAUCUGAGAUCUAUUAGAACAAGAUACAUUGCUGGAUCGUGUUCGUCUCCAAUAUAGUUACAGUGGAACAAUCAAAAGCACUCAUCUGAUGGGAAAUAAGCCAAGCUUGAAAGGCGUGAGACGUAUUUUACAUAUCGGAAAAAGCUUAGCUGAUCACAAGGCAUAUCUGAUACUUUCAAGUGGCACUACCUCACUGUAAAAUGCUACAAAUAGGCAUAGGCCAAUCUGCAUUGGUUUACCGAAGAAAAUCUAAAAAUGCUUAGUUUUAUUGCAUUCAACAUAUUUUUUUAAACCCUUAAAAUAAUUUGUCGACAAUUAUUAUGGCCAACUACAUUUAUGAAGAUCAAUCUAAAAUGCACUUAAUAAUUUUCCAGAACUAACGUAUUAUAUAAAUUUGAGAGCAACAUCUUAAUGAUGGAAUUAACAAGAAGGUGUGUACUACAUCCAGCAUCAUCUUAACUUUAG